rnacentral:rRNA from 1 species
AGUGAACGCUGGCGGUAGGCCUAACACAUGCAAGUCGAACGGCAGCACAGUAAGAGCUUGCUCUUACGGGUGGCGAGUGGCGGACGGGUGAGGAAUACAUCGGACUCUACUUUUUCGUGGGGGAUAACGUAGGGAAACUUACGCUAAUACCGCAUACGACCUACGGGUGAAAGCAGGGGAUCUUCGGACCUUGCGCGAAUGAAUGAGCCGAUGUCGGAUUAGCUAGUUGGCGGGGUAAAGGCCCACCAAGGCGACGAUCCGUAGCUGGUCUGAGAGGAUGAUCAGCCACACUGGAUCUGAGACACGGUCCAGACUCCUACGGGAGGCAGCAGUGGGGAAUAUUGGACAAUGGGCGCAAGCCUGACCCAGCCAUACCGCGUGGGUGAAGAAGGCCUUCGGGUUGUAAAGCCCUCUUGUUGGGAAAGAAAAGCAGCAGGUUGAUACCCCGCUGUUCUGACGGUACCCAAAGAAUAAGCACCGGCUAACUUCGUG